rnacentral:rRNA from 1 species
GACAGAGGCCUCAAGCGUUAGGCGGAAUCACUGGGCUUAAAGCGUGUGUAGGCGGAUCGUUAAGUGUCUUGUGAAAUCCCACGGCUCACCCGUGGAACUGCUGGGCAUACUGGCGAUCUUGGGCCAACUAGGGGCAACUGGAACAAGCGGUGGAGCGGUGAAAUGCGUAGAUAUCGCUUGGAACGCCAACGGUGAAAACAGGUUGCUGGGGUUGUGCCGACGCUGAGACACGAAAGCCAGGGGAGCAAAACGGGG